rnacentral:rRNA from 1 species
GGGUGAGUACGCCGUAAAGGACCUGCCUGACAGACUGGGACAACAUUGGAAACGAAUGCUAAUACCGGAUAUUAUGACUGAGUCGCAUGAUUGGUUAUGAAAGCUAUAUGCGCUUGAGAGACUUUGCGUCCCAUUAGUUAAUUGGUGAGGUAACGGCUCACCAAGACGAUGAUGGGUACCGGCCUGAGAGGGUGAACGGCCACAAGGGGACUGAGACACGGCCCUUACUCCUACGGGAGGCAGCAUGGGGAAUAUUGGACAAUGGACCAAAAGUCUGAUCCAGCAAUUCUGUGUGCACGAUGAAGUUUUUCGGAAUGUAAAGUGCUUUCAGUUGGGAAGAAGUCAGUGACGGUACCAACAGAAGAAGCGACGGCUAAAUACGUGCCAGCAGCCGCGGUAAUACGUAUGUCGCAAGCGUUAUCCGGAUUUAUUGGGCGUAAAGCGCGUCUAGGCGGUUUAGUAAGUCUGAUGUGAAAAUGCGGGGCUCAACCCCGUAUUGCGUUGGAAACUGCUAAACUAGAGUACUGGAGAGGUAGGCGGAACUACAAGUGUAGAGGUGAAAUUCGUAGAUAUUUGUAGGAAUGCCGAUGGGGAAGCCAGCCUACUGGACAGAUACUGACGCUAAAGCGCGAAAGCGUGGGUAGCAAACAGGAUUAGAUACCCUGGUAGUCCACGCCGUAAACGAUGAUUACUAGGUGUUGGGGGUCGAACCUCAGCGCCCAAGCUAACGCGAUAAGUAAUCCGCCUGGGGAGUACGUACGCAAGUAUG